AAUCCCCGGCGCGUGGCGUCGGAGAAUUGUGGCCGGGAGAGGCAGCCUGUGCCCGGGCUGGUGCCGUCGAAGUUGUCCUGGAAAGGCACGUCGGAGAGGGUGAGAGCCCCGUGCGAGACGCUGCCGGGCCGGGCCGUUGCUGCCUUCGGAGAGUCGGGUUGUUCGGGAAUGCAGCCCAAAGUGGGUGGUAAACUCCAUCUAAAGCUGAAUACUGGCACGAGACCGAUAGCGAACAAGUACCGUGAGGGAAAGGUGAAAAGUACUUUGAAAAGAGAGUCAAAAAGACCGCGAAACCGUUGGGAGGGAAACGAAUGCGGCUGAAGUGGCUCCCCGUCAGGCUCAGGAGACGUGGAAGGGUCCUGCGGACGCUUGCGGCUUGCUUGCCGCCGGCUGUUGUGCCUUUCGACGCAUCUGCACUUCUGCGGGGAGCUGGCCAACGGCAGUCGUCGCCCGGCCCAAGAGGGCGGCGUGGGUAGGUGGCCCCGCGUUCGCGUGGGGAGCUUACAGCCCGCCGCCAGGGUCGUUCCGGGGACGACUGAGGAGAGCCUGCGAGUUUUUCGCACUGGCGGCGCAGGCUGCCUCCUCUCGGGGAGGCGGCUGGACCGCUUUCGCUCGGCACCUUGCCGCGGUUGUCACUGCUUGCAGUGGCCUGCUGACGGUGGAGAGGUCGAGAGAGAGGCCGGUCGCACCUUGCGCCGCAGUCGUUGGUGCCCGAAUGGCCGCAUCCGACCCGUCUUGAAACACGGACCAAGGAGUGCAACACGCGCGCGAGUCUUUGGGUGGCAAACCCCUCGGCGCAAUGAAAGUGAAAGCAGGACUCGGUGCCUGCCGUGGCGAGAGCUUCCCCUCGGGGAGCGCAUCGUCGACCGAUCCCAGGCUACGCUGUGGCGGGAUUUGAGUGAGAGCGUGCCUGUUGCGACCCGAAAGAUGGUGAACUAUGCCUGAAUAGGGCGAAGCCAGAGGAAACUCUGGUGGAAGCUCGCAGCGAUUCUGACGUGCAAAUCGAUCGUCAAAUUUGGGUAUAGGGGCGAAAGA
rnacentral:rRNA from 1 species